AAACCGAAAAAUCUUUAUAGCUGUAACGGACUGUUCGUAGAAAGCAAUUGGACGCCUCAUCGGAAGCAGCCAAGUCAAACCUCACCUUUUGAGUAACUUCAUGGGCUCCCUCUCAGGAAUGCGGAUCCUGCUACCAAAACUUUGGCAGAGAUAGAUCGCCAUGCACGACUCCACCACUCCCUUCACGAAAAGUAGCGCCUGGCCGGACCUGAGAAGGAUCACGUUGCUCUACUCUUGGGAGUCGAUAUCAGCAAUCGCCUGGAGCCCCAAACUACUUGGAACGAUGAU
rnacentral:lncRNA from 1 species